rnacentral:tRNA from 1 species
GGCCUGGUGGCUCAGUGGUAAGAGCACCCGCCUCAUGAACAGGAGGUCGUGGGUUCGAUCCCCGGCCGAGUCA